GACGAAUGCUGGCGGCGUGCUUAACACAUGCAAGUCGAACGGAAAGGCCCUGCUUGCAGGGUACUCGAGUGGCGAACGGGUGAGUAACACGUGGGUGAUCUGCCCUCCACUUCGGGAUAAGCCUGGGAAACUGGGUCUAAUACCGGAUAGGAGCCAUUUUUAGUGCGGUUGGUGGAAAGUUUUUUCGGUCGAGGAUGAGCUCGCGGCCUAUCAGCUUGUUGGUGGGGUAAUGGCCUACCAAGGCGGCGACGGGUAGCCGGCCUGAGAGGGUGGACGGCCACAUUGGGACUGAGAUACGGCCCAGACUCCUACGGGAGGCAGCAGUGGGGAAUAUUGCACAAUGGGCGCAAGCCUGAUGCAGCGACGCCGCGUGGGGGAUGACGGCCUUCGGGUUGUAAACUCCUUUCGCUAGGGACGAAGCUUUUGUGACGGUACCUAGAUAAGAAGCACCGGCUAACUACGUG
rnacentral:rRNA from 1 species